rnacentral:rRNA from 1 species
UUUUAUGGAGAGUUUGAUCCUGGCUCAGGAUGAACGCUGGCGGCGUGCCUAAUACAUGCAAGUCGAGCGAACAGACAAGG